rnacentral:misc_RNA from 1 species
UAAUAAGUGUUUUAUGGCACUUUUUAAAUCCAUAUCCACCUUGUGUGCAAUGUCAGUCGGUUUCUUUUCUUCAAUGAAAAGAUCGACCAAACAUCAACCUUAUUCUAAUUGAACUCUUUGUCUGAAAAAUAUUAUGAAUAAACUAAUUCAAAUA